rnacentral:lncRNA from 1 species
GAGGAUUAUAUGAGCUAAAUAUAUGAAAGCUUCUUAGAGUAAUGCCUGACAUAGAGUAAACACUCAAGUUAUGGCUUGAUUAUGUUGACUUUGCAUGCAGAGAACCACGUUACAUUGUAAUCUCCCUUAUCUUCUCAUCCUCAUAGCUAAUGAUCUUCUCUUUCAUACACAACUUCAUAUUGGAAGAAGCUAAAAACCUCUUUUCUCAAAAGUAGUUAAGGUAAAUGAGAUCAAU